GGAGAAGUACUCAAGUGGUUGAAGAGGCGCCCCUGCUAAGGGUGUAGGAUGGGUAACUGUCGCGAGGGUUCAAAUCCCUCCUUCUCCG
rnacentral:tRNA from 1 species